UGCAGUCGAACGCUGAAGCCUGGAGCUUGCUUCGGGUGGAUGAGUGGCGAACGGGUGAGUAACACGUGAGUAACCUGCCCCUGACUUCGGGAUAAGCCUGGGAAACUGGGUCUAAUACCGGAUAUGACCUGCUACCGCAUGGUGGUGGGUGGAAAGUUUUUUCGGUUGGGGAUGGGCUCGCGGCCUAUCAGCUUGAUGGUGGGGUAAUGGCCUACCAUGGCGACGACGGGUAGCCGGCCUGAGAGGGCGACCGGCCACACUGGGACUGAGACACGGCCCAGACUCCUACGGGAGGCAGCAGUGGGGAAUAUUGCACAAUGGGGGAAACCCUGAUGCAGCGACGCAGCGUGCGGGAUGACGGCCUUCGGGUUGUAAACCGCUUUCAGUAGGGAAGAAGCCUCUUGGGGUGACGGUACCUGCAGAAGAAGUACCGGCUAACUACGUGCCAGCAGCCGCGGUAAUACGUAGGGUACGAGCGUUGUCCGGAAUUAUUGGGCGUAAAGAGCUCGUAGGUGGUUGGUCACGUCUGCUGUGGAAACGCAACGCUUAACGUUGCGCGUGCAGUGGGUACGGGCUGACUAGAGUGCAGUAGGGGAGUCUGGAAUUCCUGGUGUAGCGGUGAAAUGCGCAGAUAUCAGGAGGAACACCGGUGGCGAAGGCGGGACUCUGGGCUGUAACUGACACUGAGGAGCGAAAGCAU
rnacentral:rRNA from 1 species